AGAGAAAAUUAAAGUUAAGUGAAAGGGGAAACCUCUUAUAAACCAUCAGAUCUCAUGAGACUUAUGCACUACCACAAGAAUAGUAUGGAAGAAAUUGCCCCCAUGAUUCAAUUAUCUCCCACCGGGUCCUUCCCACAAUACAUGGGAAUUAUAGGAGCUACAAUUCAAGAUGAGAUUUUGGUGGGGAUACAGCCAAACCAUA